rnacentral:sRNA from 1 species
AGCUGGUGAGGCUCCCCUGCCUUGCGGUGGACGGAGGGAGGUGGUGUUCUGGAGCUGGUGAGGCUCCCCUGCCUUGCCGUAGAUGGAGGGAGACAGGGUUCCGGAGCUGGUGAGGCUCCCGCGUUGCCGUGGACGGAGGGAGGCGAUGUUCUGGAGGUGAAGCCGAAGCAAUUUGACCUUGCUGGUUCUCUGGUGUCUUUUCUGAGGCUGGGUCACUGAUAGAAGAAUAAGCUACAACGCAGGUGCCCCUGGGCCACAAACCCAUCUCCAAAGGCUGCGAGACUCUGGAGGCAGGUGCCAGGGGUGAGAGAGGGGUCCGGAAGAAGAGGUAUUUUACCAGUUUCCCUGGGGCUGCCCCAGCCAACAUCACAUCUGCUGCUGCUUGUAUUUGUGUCCAGCUGCUGUUAUGUGGGUAAUUCAGGGGCAAUUCAGAGGCAUGAAGUUUCAGACGAGACUGAGAGCCGUGGAGUUUGCUUUAAUCUCUGGAACAUGGAGGAUUAGCCGUGUGACCUUGGGCGAGUCCCCCCCAGCUGUGGCUCUUCAUGUCUGCAGUGGUUUGUAGAGAAAGGCCUGUCUCCCUAUCUCACAGAGAUUUGGGGACAAGAAAUGAAAACUGAUGCAGAAACCACUCAAAGCUCCUUGGAAUAAAGAUACUAUCUGAAUUGC